rnacentral:lncRNA from 1 species
AAAUCAGCCCUUGUUACUAGUGGACGCUUCGUGGUGGUGUUGGCCCUACGAAGCAGGCGAUUCGGCUUUCCGUGUCGGUGGCCCUCAGUACCAGUGAUAGCAUGUCGCGACCCAGUAGGCCUCAGCUGCUGCUCGUCACGCACGACAGAGCAGCAGUGUGCUGAAUCCUACCCUGCAUGGCUUACCCUACCCUACAAUACCCUCCUGGGUGCUGUAGGCUGCCUCCAAGGAUGUCUGAGCUCAUGCAUUUGAGGACGUUCGGCAAAGGCCGGGUCUGGCGGCUCUGGGUGGGCUUUGGCGCAGCGCAUUCCAAGAAGGCCUUUGGAACUGGAGAGUUAGGAGAGAUGAAGAAACCGAGCCAAGCCUUGCAGCCCCAUAUCUUCAGGGAAAAGAAUACAUCUGGGCUGGAGGAAAGGGUGUGCGAAGGGGACUGGGCAAGGUGGGGCAACAUGAAACUUACUCUUUAGUGGGAUCUCUGAUCUCAGUGCUGUGUGCUGUCUGAAAUCGACUUCUUGCUGUGCACCCUGAGUGCUGAGUUUCAUGCAGCCAAGUCCUGACUUCAACGGAGAGGUUUGCUGUGGCCACGUCCUUAGAAACAUUCUAGACAGCCAGCCCCAUGUCAUUGAUAGGACAUUUAUAUUUAAUUUGGCAUUAAGUUGCAUGUGCGUACACAAAUAUAGAUGGGUUUAGGGGAAAGCACUAAGUCAAUAUACUUAGCACAAUGUGAGGUUUUUGUUUUCGAUUCUUUAAGCUAGGUCUCUAGGUAGCCCUCGAUACCACUAUGUAGACUAGGCUGGCUUCAGAUUCACAGAGAUCCCACCUGACUGCUCUGAGUGCUGGGACUAGCCGUGCAUGUGCCACCACAGCAGGCCACAAUGUGAGGUUUUUGAAACAGAGGUGCAGUGUUUUUGCAUGUACACAUUUUAAAGAUUUAAUUAUUAAAUAUUAGAGACAGAUGCCUAAAGAGACAAUAAAAUCUAAAUGAAGUUUUGAUU